rnacentral:rRNA from 1 species
AUUGAACGCUGGCGGCAGGCCUAACACAUGCACGUCGACCGAGUGGCGGACGGGUGAGUAAUGUCUGGGAAACUGCCUGAUGGCGGGGGAUAACUACUGGAAACGGUAGCUAAUACCGCAUACCAUCGGAUGUGCCCAGAGGGGAUUCGCUAGUAGGUGGGGUAACGGCUCACCUAGGCGACGAUCCCUACCUGGUCUGAGAGGAUGACCAGCCACACUGGAACUGAGACACGGUCCAGACUCCUACGGGAGGCAGCAGUGGGGAAUAUGGGACAAUGGGCGCAAGCCUGAUGCAGCCAUGCCGCGUGUAUGAAGAAGGCCUUCGGGUUGUAAAGGACUUUCAGCGGGGAGGCGUUACCCGCAGAAGAAUCACCGGCUAACUCCGUGCCAGCCGCCGCGGUAAUUC